rnacentral:rRNA from 1 species
ACAUUUCUUUAAGUUAAUUAUUUAAGGUAGGUUCUGCCCUAUGAUUAAUUUUAAAUGGCUGCAGUAUUUUGACUGUGCAAAGGUAGCAUAAUAAAUAGCCUUUUAAUUGGAGGCUGGUAUGAAUGAAUUAAUGAGAAAUUAAUUUUAUUAAAGUUAUUAUUUGAAUUUAAUUUUUAAGUCAAAAAGCUUAAGUUUAUGUUUGGGACGAUAAGACCCUAUAGAACUUUAUAUAAGUUAAAGUCUACUAUUAUUUUUGGUAAUAUUUUUAAUACAUUUUAUUUUAUGUUUUGCUGGGGUGGUAGUUAAAUAAUAAAAACUUUAAUUUUGCUUUUCAUUUAUAAAUGAUUUUUUGAUCCUUUAUUUUUAGAUUAUAAGAUUAAGUUACCUUAGGGAUAACAGCGUAAUUUUAAUGGUAAGUUCUUAUUUAUAUUAAAGUUUGCGACCUCGAUGUUGAAUUAAGAUUAGACUAAGGGGUAGGUUCUUUAAAUUCUAAGUCUGUUCGACUUUUAAAUUCUUACGUGAUCUG